UGGGUGUUCUGCCCUGCACUUCGGGAUAAGCCUGGGAAACUGGGUCUAAUACCGGAUAGGACUACGAAUCGCAUGGUUUGUGGUGGAAAGCUUUUGCGGUGUGGGAUGGGCCCGCGGCCUAUCAGCUUGUUGGUGGGGUGAUGGCCUACCAAGGCGACGACGGGUAGCCGGCCUGAGAGGGUGUCCGGCCACACUGGGACUGAGAUACGGCCCAGACUCCUACGGGAGGCA
rnacentral:rRNA from 1 species